rnacentral:rRNA from 1 species
UACGUAGGGGGCAAGCGUUGUCCGGAAUUAUUGGGCGUAAAGCGCGCGCAGGCGGUUCCUUAAGUCUGAUGUGAAAUCUCGGGGCUCAACCCCGAGCGGUCAUUGGAAACUGGGGGACUUGAGUACAGAAGAGGAGAGUGGAAUUCCACGUGUAGCGGUGAAAUGCGUAGAUAUGUGGAGGAACACCAGUGGCGAAGGCGACUCUCUGGUCUGUAACUGACGCUGAGGCGCGAAAGCGUGGGGAGCGAACAGG